AACGAACGCUGGCGGCAUGCCUAACACAUGCAAGUCGAACGAUUGUCUUCGGAUCAUAGUGGCGCACGGGUGCGUAACGCGGGGUAAUCUGCCCGUGGGUUCGGAAUAACAGUUGGAAACGACUGCUAAUACCGGAUGAUGUCGAUAAGACCAAAGAUUUAUCGCCCGAGGAUGAGCCCGCGUCGGAUUAUCUAGUUGGUGGGGUAAAGGCCUACCAAGGCGACGAUCCGUAGCUGGUCUGAGAGGAUGAUCAGCCACACUGGGACUGAGCCACGGCCCAGACUCCUACGGGAGGCAGCAGUGGGGAAUAUUGGACAAUGGGCGGAAGCCUGAUCCAGCACUGACGCGUGAGUGAUGAAGGCCUUAGGGUUGUAAAGCUCUUUUACCCGGGAAGAUAAUGACUGUACCGGGAGAAUAAGCCCCGGCUAACUCCGUG
rnacentral:rRNA from 1 species